GUGGGGAAUAUUGGACAAUGGGCGAAAGCCUGAUCCAGCCAUGCCGCGUGUGUGAAGAAGGUCUUCGGAUUGUAAAGCACUUUAAGUUGGGAGGAAGGGCAUUAACCUAAUACGUUAGUGUUUUGACGUUACCGACAGAAUAAGCCCCGGCUAACUUCGUGCCAGCAGCCGCGGUAAUACGAAGGGGGCGAGCGUUAUUCGGAAUCACUGGGCGUAAAGCGUGCGUAGGCGGUUUUGUAAGUUAGGAGUGAAAGCCCAGGGCUCAACCUUGGAAUUGCUCUUAAAACUGCAAGGCUCGAAUCUCGGAGAGGAUAGCGGAAUUUCCAGUGUAGCAGUGAAAUGCGUAGAUAUUGGAAGGAACACCAGUGGCGUAAGCGGCUAUCUGGACGAGUAUUGACGCUGAGGCACGAAAGCGUGGGGAUCAAACAGGAUUAGAUACCCUGGUAGUCC
rnacentral:rRNA from 1 species